rnacentral:lncRNA from 1 species
CGCCCUCCCUCUUCCGCAGACUUCUCUCAAGUACUGAGCCAUAUGGUUCCAGUUAAGCUCCAUAUUUUUCCCUGUCGAUUGAAGAGACACACUUUCCUCUUUGCCAGACAGUUUGCAGAUUGCUCUGUUGGCUCAAUUUCUUAUUGGAUUUCUCAAAAAACCUGACAUUUUAAAUUAAUUUACAGCCACAACAAAAAGAGUUCAGAAUUUUAAUGGUGUUGUAAGUAAGUUUUAGGUAAUCCACUCCAGAUUUUGAUAUUAACCUUUGAAACCGGAGUUCAUUCAGCUACUAUGUUACAAUACACAGUCAGGCCUGGGGGAGAGCUUGCAGGGAGGAGGAGAGGCUGGAUCUGGGAAGCCCUUUUUUGCUAGGAAAC